rnacentral:lncRNA from 12 species
ACACACACACACACACCUGCAGGAAGAAGGGAGAGGAAGGACAAAGGAAAAAUGAAUGAAGACACAGCCUUUAUUUUAAUCAUCUCCAAUGUUAGUUUUCUGCCCACACUUCCUCCUCCUUAGACAAAGCAGUCUUUGGGAGCUACACCUAACAGCACAAACUCAGCAGAAAGCCAUUGGAGAGUAGAAAAAGAGUCCAGUUUAGAGUUGUGACCAAAGUAAUGGUGAUAAAGCAGAAGCCCCUCAGUCCUUAGGAGGCAGGGGGACUCUUAUCUUCUUUUCCAGGAAUGGAAAAUGCAAGACUGCACCUUGUCCACUUUCCUGAGAUGGAGCCCCUUUUUCCCCAUGGAUACCAUCUCUUCUAGAGAUUUCUCCCAGAGAUGGGAAACAGGCAGAGGACACAUUGAAAGGGUCUAAAGUCAUCCACUUCAAGUUUCAAGGAUGGCUCCCCAUGGAGUUGAUUGAUAUGUUGCCGAUGAAGACUAUCCCAUCAUAAAAAACACUGUGUGUCAUAUUUUCAAAUUUUUCAGUCUUGAGAGAUUCUUUGGUGGGAUAAAAUAAGUUUAAAGACAAAAAAGAAAAAGAAAAAAAACAAAAAAACCCCCACCUAAUCACCUAAG